rnacentral:rRNA from 1 species
UACGUAGGGAGCAAGCGUUGUCCGGAAUCAUUGGGCGUAAAGCGCGCGUAGGUGGCUUCGUAAGUCCGUUGUGAAAGUCAAAGGCUCAACCUUUGAAAGCCGAUGGAUACUGUGGAGCUAGAGUACGGAAGAGGCGAGUGGAAUUCCUGGUGUAGCGGUGGAAUGCGCAGAUAUCAGGAGGAACACCAAUAGCGAAGGCAGCUCGCUGGGACGUUACUGACGCUGAGACGCGAAAGCGUGGGGAGCAGACAGG